rnacentral:rRNA from 1 species
CUUCGGGGUACUCGAGUGGCGAACGGGUGAGUAACACGUGGGUGAUCUGCCCUGCACUUURGGAUAAGCCUGGGAAACURGGUCUAAUACCGAAUAGGACCGCAUGCUUCAUGGUGUGUGGUGGAAAGCUUUUGCGGUGUGGGAUGGGCCCGCAGCUAUCAGCUUGUUGGUGAGGUAAUGGCUUACCAAGGCGACGACGGGUAGCCGGCCUGAGAGGGUGACCGGCCACACUGGGACUGAGAUACGGCCCAGACUCCUACGGGAGGCAGCAGUGGGGAAUAUWRCACAAUGGGCGCAAGCUGNAUGCAGCGACGCCGCGUGARGGAUGACGGCCUUCGGGUUGUAAACCUCUWUMGCCAGGGACGAAGCGCAAGUKACGGUACCURGAGAAGAAGGACCGGCCAACUACGUGCCAGCAGCCGCGGUAAUACGUAGGGUCCGAGCGUUGUCCGGAAUUACUGGGCGUAAAGAGCUCGUAGGUGGUUUGUMGCGUUGUUCGUGAAAACUCACAGCUUAACUGUGGGCGUGCGGGCGAUACGGGCAGACUUGAGUACUGCAGGGGAGACUGGAAUUCCUGGUGUAGCGGUGGAAUGCGCAGAUAUCAGGAGGAACACCGGUGGCGAGGCGGGUCUCUGGGCAGUAACURACGCUGAGGAGCGAAAGNGGNGGGAGCGAACAGGAUUAGAUACCCUGGUAGUCCACGCCGUAAACGGUGGGUACUAGGUGUGGGUUUCUUCCUUGGGAUCCGUGCCGUAGCUAACGHAUUAAGUACCCCGCCUGGGGAGUACGGCCGCAGGUAAAAACUCAAAGWWAUUGWCGGGGGGCCGCACAAGMGGC